GCCACCUGAUAGCUCUACGUCUUGAGGCCUGUCAUGUCACCUUUGUGUGUCUUGGUGUUCCUAUGAAUGAAAUGGGUAUGAUGAAUAUUAUGUCUGCUUAUAAAAUGGAGUAAUGCUGAUUGCCAGUAUGUAUUGAAAAUGGCUGUGGACCUGGUUAACCAGUGGAGCUAAUCCCAGAGCCAAUUAUUAACUCCUAUACAUCAUGAGCAUCUCUGGGUAAGCUCCCAUGGCUGUGUCCUAAGCAGCCUGUCUUACAUGUCCUGCGAUAAGGUCUGGAGCCUGUGGUGUUUCAAAUGCACCAUGGUAGCCCUCUUUAAAGGUUUCAGUGAAUACAGUUGGCCAUUGAUUGUGUGGUAUCCAUCAACCCAAUGCACCAGAAGCACGAAUCCCAUCCUUGUAAUUCGACUGUGUGGUCUUCCUUUACCCUAAGAGGACUGUUUUUUUUUUUUAAUAGUCUUGAUCUUGCCCUUGAUUUUCCAGAAUGCUAAGGAGACUCUAAAAAUCCUGAUUACAGCAGAAAGGAAUUCAGUGCUAAUAACUCCACCAGGCCCAAUUUACAUAAAGAACAUGAAAAGGGGUUUCCCAGGAAUUUAACAAUUUCUAAGAAGAGAGAGUGUUGGUUGAAUAAAUUGACCUUCAACGGUCAGAUUAAUGAGAAA